CCUUAUAUCUCUACUACUUUUAUGCUUCUGGGACAAUAGCUUAAUGUUUUUGCUUGCCCAACAGGAGGGGCUUGUGGAUAUGGAAACUUGUACUCUACUGGAUAUGGAACAAGAACGGCAGCUUUGAGCACAGCAUUGUUCAAUGAUGGGGCUUCAUGUGGGCAAUGCUACAAGAUCAUAUGUGAUUACCAAUCCGAUUCACAGUGGUGCAAGAAAGGAGCUUCUGUGACCAUCACUGCAACAAACUUUUGCCCUCCAAACUAUGCUCUUCCAAGCAACAAUGGAGGGUGGUGCAACCCACCCCUGCAGCAUUUCGAUAUGGCUCAGCCAGCAUGGGAAAAGAUCGGUAUUUACAGAGGCGGGAUC
rnacentral:lncRNA from 1 species